GCUGGGUGUGGUGGCGCGUGCCUGUGGUCCCAGCUACUUUGGAGGCUGAGGCAGGAGGAUCGCUUGAGCCCAGGAGGUAGAGGUUGCAGUGAGCUGAGAUUGUGCCACUGCACUCCAGCCUGGGCAAUAGAGCCAGACCCUGUCUCAA
rnacentral:SRP_RNA from 1 species